rfam:Microgenomates (Roizmanbacteria) bacterium GW2011_GWC2_37_13 TS40_C0006, whole genome shotgun sequence.
UUUUUUAAGAGUUUGAUCCUGGCUCAGGAUGAAUGUUGGCGGCGUGCCUGAGAUAUGCAAGUCGAGCGACCCCAUCGCAAGAUGGGGAGCGGCGGACGGCUGAGUAACACGUAGGAACUUACCCCUUUCUGGAGUAUAGCUCGCCGAAAGGCGGGGUAAUAGUCCAUGAUUCCCACCUUUGGUGGGGUAAAGAGCGUAACUGCUUGGAGAGGGAUGGUCCUGCGUCUUAUCACGGUAGUUGGUAGGGUAAUAGCCUACCAAGCCUAUGACGAGUAGCUGGUCUUAGAGGAUGGUCAGCCAGAGGGGGACUGAGACACGGCCCCCACUCCUACGGGAGGCAGCAAUCAGGAAUAGUCGGCAAUGGGCGAAAGCUUGACCGCGCGACGCCGCGUGUAGGAAGAAAUUCUAACGAAUGUAAACUACUGUAGUAGAGGAAGAAGUCCCCGCUUAGCGGGGGUUGACGGUACUCUACUAGAAAGGGGCCGCUAACUGCGUGCCAGAAGCGUCGGUAAUACGUGGGCCCCGAACAUUAUCCGGUUUUAUUGGGUGUAAAAAGUAGUGUAGGUGUCCCGAUCAGUCCUUUUUUAAAUACUGUGGCUCAACCAUAGGAAAGGAUAGGAUACUAUCGGGAUUGAGUUAUCUUUAGGGAGAUUGGAACUCAAGGAGGAGUAGUGAAAUGCGUUGAUACCUUGGGGAACACCAGUGGCGAAGGCGAAUCUCUGAAAGACAACUGACACUGAGACACGAAAGCUAGGGUAGCGAAGCAGAUUAGAGACCUGCGUAGUCCUAGCCUUAAACGCAUGCUUGCUAGCCGCAUUUUUUCACCUUCGGGUGAAGAGGUGUAGCGUAGGUAACCCGUUAAGCAAGCUACCUGGGGAGUACGACCGCAAGGUUAAAACUCAAAGGAAUUGGCGGGGAGGCACACAACCAGUGGAACAUGUGGUUCAAUUCGAUACGAACCGAAGAACC